rnacentral:lncRNA from 1 species
UUAUGACCCGACUUUGUUUUCUCUUUUCCAAAACCCUAGAGAGCCUCCAUCUCCAUUCCAGCAACUGAUUAUUUGUUACAUCCAAUCUAUUACAAUCUCAAACCCUAAAUCUCUGUCGCUUAUGACUUUGAAGAUUUCAAGCUGGCCGAUUUCAUAUAUUGAUUUCAUAUGGAUCGUGACCAUUUCUUUUGGAUCAUCGGACGACGACUCGGGCGAUUCCUGAGGCUGAAGACAACAACGGCAAGAGGCACUCCAGCGGCGCGAUUAGGGUUUCGCUGUGAACCCUAACAACAGUGGCAGCGGCGCAUUUUAUUCUUGAAGAUUUGAUUUUUUCCAAUGUGCAAUCCAAGUUAAGUUUGUGAAAAUUUAGUCAUAAAAUUAAGCAUCAAUUUUGUUAUUAGAGAAGGCUUGCAUUUGGCUUUAUUUCAUGUAUGGAAACAAGCUUUGUGAUGACAAAGUUCCUUAUCUGAUUCACCAUACAUAUACUAUUUGAAGUGAAAAGCUCCACCUUCAAGAUCGUUCAUAGCAUUCAAAACCUGGUAAGGACCGACAUUGGGUUCAGAUGACUGUGGUAUUGGGCUUUCUCGGCUUCAAUGACGCAGAUACUAGAGAGGCUGCCAGCAUUUGGUGAAUUUAGAUAAUUUAUUUUGUGGACAAAGCCAUCCCGGAAGAACCGAUAGAGUAUAUUUGAAGGUUUUGACUGCGUUGGCAGCUGCUGUGAUCACAUUUGGUUGUGAUAUGUCUGCUUUGGCGGAUCUGAAUAAGUUUGAGGCGAAUUUAUUGGUGAAUUCGGUAUUGGAUUGGCUGCUUAGUUCGGUUCUGCUGCUCUCAGGUGACAUAAUGUGAAUCAGCGAUUGAAAUAGAAGUGAACACAUGACUAUGAUCAACCAAUCGAAUGGAUCACGAUCAAAGAAGGAAUUUCAAGACAGUGUUAUGAAAGCUAAGAAUCCGAACGAAGAGAUGAUCAAGAUAUGAAAAGAAAUAGUCGAUUUCAAUGUAAUGCCUCAUUGAAUAUAUUUUGUUACAGUCUUGAGAAUUUGCCAUAUCAUAUUGGAAAUUUUUAAUCAUUAUGCAUUUAUUUUGAUAUCAUUCAAUGGUCAGUUUCACUUGGUUUGUAUGUCACACCAAAACACAUGUCCAGUUGGUUACAAUAUGAAUGGAUUUAUUUCUCUCUCUCUCGGGAU